CAGCAUUGUUAAGUGACCCACUGGCCCUCCCUGUGGCCAACUGGGCCUCAUCACAGUGCAAGAGUAACUCCCCUCUUUACAGAAGGGCCAGGCCUGCUUUGUAGGCUGCCCCUUUUGGACUGGGGGUACAUCU
ensembl:snoRNA